GCCCGCCUAGCUCAAUCGGAUAGAGCGUCAGACUUUUAAGACCAUUCGUGGUCAAGGGCGAUCUGAAGGCUGCGAGUUCGACCCUCGCGGUGGGCU